rnacentral:rRNA from 1 species
UACGUAGGGUGCGAGCGUUGUCCGGAAUUAUUGGGCGUAAAGAGCUCGUAGGCGGUUUGUCGCGUCGACUGUGAAAACCCGAGGCUUAACCUGGGAACUGCGUCUGAUACUGGACGGCUGGAGUUUGGGAGAGGGAUGUAGAAUUCCAGGUGUAGCGGUGAAAUGCGUAGAUAUCUGGAGGAAUACCGGUGGCGAAGGCGGCAUCCUGGACCAAUACUGACGCUGAGGCGCGAAAGCUAGGGGAGCAAACGGG